AUUGCUUGAGGUGGUGGAUUUCGUGGCAACCACACACCCUAUGGGUCAAAAGAGUAGCGGGAGAAUGCAACGCCCGCCAAGGAAU
rnacentral:ncRNA from 1 species